rnacentral:rRNA from 1 species
GACGUAGGGCGCGAGCGUUGUCCGGAUUUAUUGGGCGUAAAGAGCUCGUAGGCGGCUUGUCGCGUCGACUGUGAAAACUUGGGGCUCAACCCCAAGCUUGCAGUCGAUACGGGCAGGCUAGAGUUCGGUAGGGGAGACUGGAAUUCCUGGUGUAGCGGUGAAAUGCGCAGAUAUCAGGAGGAACACCGAUGGCGAAGGCAGGUCUCUGGGCCGAUACUGACACUGAGGAGCGAAAGCGUGGGGAGCGAACAGG